rnacentral:rRNA from 1 species
UGAACGCUGGCGGUAGACCUAACACAUGCAAGUCGAACGGCAGCACAGUAAGAGCUUGCUCUUACGGGUGGCGAGUGGCGGACGGGUGAGGAAUACAUCGGAAUCUACUUUUUCGUGGGGGAUAACGUAGGGAAACUUACGCUAAUACCGCAUACGACCUACGGGUGAAAGCAGGGGAUCUUCGGACCUUGCGCGAUUGAAUGAGCCGAUGUCGGAUUAGCUAGUUGGCGGGGUAAAGGCCCACCAAGGCGACGAUCCGUAGCUGGUCUGAGAGGAUGAUCAGCCACACUGGAACUGAGACACGGUCCAGACUCCUACGGGAGGCAGCAGUGGGGAAUAUUGGACAAAGGGCGCAAGCCUGAUCCAGCCAUACCGCGUGGGUGAAGAAGGCCUUCGGGUUGUAAAGCCCUUUUGUUGGGAAAGAAAAGCAGCAGGUUAAUACCCCGCUGUUCUGACGGUACCCAAAGAAUAAGCACCGGCUAACUUCGUG